AAAAAAUUCAAGACCGUAUUAGGACAACUCUGGGAAGGGGCUUUACUGCCUACGACCACCAGAGACCCCCCGAGUCAAGAAACUGCGCAUGCCCCAAAGUAAUCCAGAUAUUAUAAUGAGUUGUUUGUAUAUGUAUGAGAUUUCUGGGAAAGAGCAUGAAUAUGUAUAGGUUAGGUUUAUAAGUAUAGGCUAACUUGAAACCUCAGUGUGUACGAUAGGAGGAGAGAUCCCCCAUGCACCCGGCGCCAAAUAAAGCAAUGCCUGUUUUCUGAUACUAAAACUGAGUAUUGGAGAGUUUAUUAUCCCAUAAUUGGUGACAGUUUCUGGCGACCCAGGUGGGACUCUGCUUCUGAGACUUCUCGGACCAUUGGAUGGUACACACUGAGUAUUUUUCAGGGAGAUCGCUGAUCCUCUGAUCUGUGGAGGUCCAGCGCACAGCCCCUGGGAGCGGUAAGGCAUUGCUUUUUUUUAAAGGUGGAAAAAUCCUUGCAGAAUUGGGUUGCGGACUUCCAGGGACACUUGGGGUAUACUAAUGUGGUUAAAGGGAAAAUUGAUCAAGGUAUACAUUGCACAUAUUCUCCCAGAGGUUAAUUAUGGGAUCGGGACAAUCCCGAGAAGGCGGGAUUGGAAAGAAUACUCCUUUGGGUUGUGUUCUGAGACACUGGAGUAAACUGGGGGGGGACUCCCUGACACGGAAAAAGCUUGCCGAAUAUUGUCAACACUGUGGCCGAUGUAUAAAUUAGAAAGUGGAGAAAAAUGGCCUAGAGAUGGCAGUCUAACUUAUAAUACUAUGCUUCAAUUAAUGUUAUUUUGCAGAAGGGAGGGGAAAUGGGAUGAAGUUCCCUAUGUUGAUUUAUUCUUUGCUUUACGAGAUCAUCCUGAAUGGAGCAGGGAAUGUAAAUUAAUACCAAGAGAUCCUUUGGUUCUGGCCUUGGAAAAAGAUUAUCAGAAACUCUCUAAGCGUUGUUGUUCGGCAUGUAGUAUCGGUAAACAGUGCAUCAAAUACAGAGGACCGGACGAGGUGGAAAGGUUGGUUGCACCCCAGGGAAAGGAUAGAAGGAAUCAAAGGGGGGAAGAGGAUGUUUCUGAUGAAGGGCAAUUUUGUGCUAGAAGUGAGGAAUUCAGUGCUAUUGCUGGGACAACGAGGGGAGGGCUAGGAGGUCAAGUUGUGCAAGCUCUGCUGCAACAGACAGCAGGGGCAGAGGGACCAGCGACCAUUAAAGCACCUUUCUCAGUGACUGAUUUAUGCUUGUGGAAAAAGUUGGUGGGUACAUAUAGGGAAGAUCCUGAUAAGGUGGCCAAGGUGAUAGAGAUGAUAAUCAGGACUCAGGAUCUGGCUUGGAAUGAUUUGCAGGUGGUCUUAGAUAAUCUGCUAACGGUGGAUGAGCGAGCUCUGGUACUUGCAAAGGCAAGGGAGGAGGCAGAAAGCAUACAUGCACAAGCAGGAGAACAAGGCACUGUUAAUGAUCAUUUUCUGCCAGCUGAUCCUCACUGGGAUCCUAAUAACCCAGUUCAUCGGGAUCUGUUGACCAGAUACCAGAGGUUAAUCAUGUUUGGAGCUUGGCAUGCUAUACCUAAGGCCAAAAAUAUGUUUAAGAUAUAUCAGGUAGUCCAGGGUUGAAAUGAAUCCCCAUCAGAAUAUUAUGAAAGAUUGGUUUCUACUGCCAGAAGAUAUACCCAUCUGGAUCCUGAAAAGGAGGGAGAUGCCUUGCAGUUAGCAUUUAUCUUUACGAGACAGGCAGCUCUGGAUAUUCAAAGAAAUUUACAAAAGCUAGAGGGAGAGGAUUUGAGGAAUUUGAGCAAGUUGUUGGAAUAGGCCUGGAAAGUGUAUAAUAACCGAGAAGUGGUUAAAGAGAAUCAGGAAUGGAAAAUAGUUGCUGCAUUGAUGAAUGCUGGGAGAGGAGCUUGCAGCAGAGGAAGAGGUAGAGGGGGAAUGGGAAGAGGAGUAUCUGCUCGGCUGGGUCCAAAUCAGUGCACAAUUUGCAGACAGGAGGGGCACUGGAAAAGAGAAUGCCCCCAAGGGAGAGGUGGAGGGUCCGGACUAAGGGUAGAACAGGUUCAAAUAGCUGCCAGGCUUCUUACCCUAGACAGAGAUACUGAUCAAUGAUGGGGACCAGGGAAGUCCCAAAAGAAGCCCCAGCAGAACCCCUGGUCACAAUAACAUUGGGGAAUGAGGAAAUAGAUUUUCUGGUAGAUACUGGAGCAGCUUACUCAGUAAUUAACACUUGUAAAGGGAAACUAAGCCAAGAGAAUGUGGUUGUUGUUGGUGCUACAGGCAAAAAAGGAAAGGAGACCAUUCUUUCAACUGCUAGAUUUUAAUAUUGGGAAACAACAAGUAACCCAUCAGUUUUUAUAUAUGCCAGAGUGCCCUGUUCCCUUGCUGGGAAGAGACCUCCUCACCAAAGUCGGAGCACGAAUAACUUUUGAAAGAGGAAGGAUCUGUGUAAAAGUACCUGAAUCUAAAUCUUUAGAUGCUCAAGUUUAUAUGUUACAGGACCCAGUUCAAACGGAACUGGAAAUCCCGCAGGAAAUGGAGAACAGCGUAAUCCCAUUGGUAUGGGCCAGUGGAGCUCUGGGAAGGUCACGAGCCGCGGAAUCGGUAAAGAUUCAAUUAAAGCCAGGAGCUAAACCGGUAAGACAGAAACAAUACCCUCUGUAGUUAGAGGCUAGAGUAGGAUUAGAGCAUGUUAAUAAAUGAUUUUAAAACAUUUGGGCGAUUGGUUGAAUGCCAGUCAGUGUUUAACACUCCGAUCCUGCCGGUAAAGAAACAUCAUUCAAAUGAGUACCGUUUGGUACAAGACCUGAGAGCUGUCAAUCAAAUUGUAGAAGAUAUCCACCUGGUAGUGGCUAACCCAUAUACACUACUUAGAACAACUAAAGAAACAGACACAUGGUUUACAGUUCUGGACUUAAAGGAUGCUUUCUUUUGCAUACCCUUGGACAAAGGGAGUCAGGAACUGUUUGCCUUCAAAUGGGAAAGCCCCAUGACAGGGCGAAAAAUUCAAUUGACUUGGACAGUUCUUCCCCAGGGGUUUAAAAAUAGCCCCACUCUGGAAAUCAAUUAGCUAAAGAGUUAGAAGAAUGGAAGCAACAUAAUGAAGACUCUACUGCAAUAUGUGGAUGAUGUGUUAAUUGCAGCCUAGUCACCUGACAAGUGUAUGGAAAUCACUAUAAGCCUUUUACAUCUCUUGGGACAAGCAGGGUAUUGAGUGUCUAAAAAGAAGGCUCAACUCGUUAAACAGCAAGUAUUAUAUUUAGGGUUCACUAUUUCCCAAGGAUUGUGGAGCCUGGGGACAGAGAGGAAAGAAGCUAUAUGUCAAAUACCAGAACCAACUUCAAAAAGGGAACUGCAGGCUUUUCUGGGAAUGGCGAGGUGGUGCAGGUUAUGGAUAAUGGACUAUGGAAUAAUAGUACAACCUCUUUACAAGGCAUUGAAAGAAUCAGGAGACAGCUUGGUCUGGAUUCCACAGUGUCGUCAAGCCUUUGAGUCACUUAAAAGAACCUUAAUGAUGGCCCCAGCUCUAGGAUUACCAAAUCUGACUAAACCUUUUGAAUUGUUCGUUCAUGAAAGGUUUCACCUGGCUCUGGGACUCCUCGCCCAGCAUUUGGGAUCCUGGAAGAGACCAGUGGGAUACUUUUCCAAACAGCUGGGCAACAUGAGUAAAGGCUUGCUGUCCUGCCUCUGGGCUGUAGUGGUGAUGGUAUUGCUGAUUCAAGAGGCCCGGAAGCUCACUAUGGGGCAAUGGAUGACCGUGUACGUGCCCCAUAUGGUGACAGCAGUACUGGAGCAAAAAGAAAAUCACUGGUUAUCACUGAGCAGAAUGAUGAAAUAUCAAGCCAUCUUAUUGGAGAUGAUGAUGUGAACUUAAAGGUCUACUCUAGCCAAGAGGAUGUGAAGGAUACCCUGAUUGGGAAUUAUAUACAGAUGGAAGCAGUUACAUGGAAGAAGGAAGACGGUUGGCAGGUUAUGUGGUGGUUUUACAGGAGAAGGUGAUUGAAGCAAAGGCUCUUCCACCUAACACCUCAGCACAGAAGGCAGAAUUAGUGGCACUUGAAAGGGCAUUAACACUGUCUCAAGGAAAGCGAGUAAAUAUUUGGGUAGACUUCACAUAUGCCUUCGGAGUGGUGCACACUCAUGGAGCUAUUUGGAAAGAGAGAGGUCUAUUGUCAGCUCAAGGGUCCCCCAUUAAAUAUGGAGAAACUAUUGUAAAGCUCUUGGAGAGUGUCCAAUUACCGGCAGAGGUCACAGUGAUGCACUGUAAGGCUCAUCAAUAUGGAAAUACCAAAAUCAAUGUGGGAAACAGGCUGGCAGAUCAGGCAGCUAAGGAAGCAGCUAACAGGGGCAUCGUUUUGAUUGUCCCUAAUAAACACAUUAACCUUCCCAAGGAUAGGCCAUAAUAUCAGGAACAAGAUGACCAAUUGGCUGAAGUGCUAAAUGCUAGUAAAAAUUCAGAAGGAUGGUAGAUUACACCUGAAAACCAAUUUAUAGCAACCCAACCUAUAAUGAGGGAAAUUGCAAAGGAGAAACAUCAAUCUAUGCACUGGGCAAUUGAGGCCAUGAUAAAUGAUUUGAAGGGACAGAUUUUGAGUGUUAGAAUGACGGGAAUUAUAAAAAGUAUAGUAAAGAAAUGUGAAUCCAUUAAAGUUUCCCCAGCAGAUCCUCUGGUUCCAAUUAAGCUGGGGACUGAAACAAUAGAUUUUCCGAUUGAUAGUGGGGCCACCCAUUCUGUAUUAACUAGUUGUAAGGGACCAUUAAGUAAAACUAAGAUAAGCAUUGUUGGUGCUACAGGGAAAAAAAACUUUGAGGCCAUUUUUACAGCCUAUGGAACUCGGACUUGGGGAUACUAAACUAACACACAAAUUCCUCUAUAUGCCAGAAUGCCCUUUACCACUACUUGGAUGGGAUUUACUCUGUAAAUUAAAUGUGCAAUUAAACUUCUCUGAAGAUUCUGUUCAGUUACAUAUUCCCCCAGAGAAUGCGUGGAGAGCUCAGAUAUGCCUGUUGACUGAGAAGAAUCCUAUAGAAGAGGGAGAUAUUCCUGAUGAAGUAUUGGACGCAGUAAUACCUGUAGUGUGGUCCUUGGGAACUCCAGGAUGAGCAAAGAACGUGACUCCGGUAAAGAUUCAACUGAAACCAGGAGCCCAGCUUGUAAGAAAGAAACAAUAUCCUAUUAAAUUGGAAGUUUGGAAGGGACUGGAACCUACAACAAAUUCUUUUUUAGAACAUGUACAGCUAAGAGAAUGUCAAUCAGAAUUUAACACUCCAAUUUUGCCUGUAAAGAAACCUCACGCACAGGAAUAUAGACUGGUACAAGAUUUACAAGAAGUUAAUGUGAGAACUAUAGAUGUGCACCCUGUGGUUCCAAAUCCUUACACCCUCCUUGCCUCAAUUCCUGAUAGCAAUACUUAUUUUACAGUACUGGACUUGAAGGAUGCUUUCUUUUGUAUACCUGUGGACAGAGUCAGACCAUUUUUGCUUUUGAAUGGAAAAACCGGACUACAGGAUGAAAGAUGCAGCUCUGUUGGACUGUCCUUCCCCAAGGAUUCAAAAAUAGCCCCACCUUGUUUGGUAAUGCAUUGGCAAAGGAACUAGAACAAUGGCACAGUGAGUGUAAUACCAUCACACUGUUACAGUAUGUAGAUGACUUGUUGAUUGGUUCUGAUACCUAUGAAGAGUGUUUAGAAGCCACAAUCAGCUUGCUUAAUUUUCUAGCUUUAGCAGGCUACGGAGUCUCCAAGAAGAAAGCCCAGACAGGAAAAGAAAGGGUCCAAUAUAGGGGAUUUGAAGUUAUGAAAGGACAAAGAUAAUUGAGUGCUGAAAGAAGGGAGGCCAUCUGCAGAAUUGCUGUACCUACUUCAAAGAAACAAUCAAGGGGAUUUUUAGGAAUGGCUGGGUGGUGUUGGCUAUGGAUUCCUAAUUUCGGACUAAUUGCCAAACCAUUGUAUGCUGCUAUAAAAGGAACUGAAGGGUUUUUAGAAUGGACACCAGAAUGUCAUAAAAGUUUCAAUGAAAAUAAGAGAAAACUGAUGGAAGCCCCUGCACUAGGGGCUUUCAGUUAUAUGUACAUGAGAGACAAAAAGUGGCACUGGGGGUUAAGCCUCGAUGAACUGUACCUGAGAAACAGAACUUGCCUAAGUAGAGGUUAAGUGCCCACAAAGCCAAUUGGUUUUGUAUUUAGGAUUAAUAUUGUAGUUACCUAUCAUUUUGCUGUUUAUGUAUAGAAUGAAUUUUUUUCUCCACAGCGAUAAUUAUAGAACCUCCUUGGAAAGCGUUAUUAAUUUAACUCUGCUAAAAUUGUAAGUAAUAUAAUAGUAUAUUCAGUAUUAGCUGUCUGUGAAGGAUAAUUGUAGUUAUAAUGAAAAGAAAUAGUGAGAUGUAUGAGACCCAUGAGAAGAGAUCUCAUAGUCUUAAAGGGGGGAAAAUGAUAUCUAUAAAGUAGAAUUUUCCACUUUACAGGGACAGAAAUGUGUUUGGGUUAGUGCUUAGACACUGUUUAAUUCAGGGUGAAACGCACUACUUGCUUUGCUAACAACUAUACCUUUGAAGAAGAGCUGAAAGACUGAUAAAAAGCAUGCUUUGCUAAAGAGUAUCCUUGAAGGAGAGCUGAAAAACUGAUAAAGAGGAAACAUCCUGCCCCAGAAGGCACCCAGAGCUGGGUGAUUGCCAGAGAGGCCUGAAGUCAACAAAAAUUGGCAGUAACUGGGGGAAGGGAAAAGUGGCUGGGGGAGUUCACGACCACCUACCCAAUUAAAGGACUAUGCAAACUACACACACCCCCACACCCCCCCAGGACCAUGUGGGCUAAUUUUAAUAUGCUUGAUCAAUAGUAGAUGAUGUGGUAAUUAAAAACCAAUUAGCAUAAAUUUAGGCAGGUUUUUCUAAUCCUGUAACAAGAUAAAUAUGUGGUAGAUUCUGUAUGUAGUGGGCUAGCUUUGUGGAAUUACCACCUAGCACCCAUCUCUGCACAGACAUGAAAUAAAUAAAAUACCUCUGCUCUGUGUAUAUAUUGGUGUACAGCACAUCAGGUAAACGAUCCCACUUUUGGAACAACAAUAGGGUUUUGCGUAUUUUGUAAAUAUGUUCUAUGCAAGCAUGAGCUGUUCAAUCCUACAAUUAAUAAUAAGUGGCUUGAAUUGGAGGAUGGAGCUGGUCCUGGAAGAUAAUUUGAUUUUAAAACUGAUACAAGGCUCUGGAAAGACUCAGAACCUGACUGGUGUUACCACCUGUCUGCCCAUGCCUAAAACUAGUAAGAAUUCAGUAGAAUGGGGAGUGUUAGCUAAUUCGAAUCACAUGGAAUUGGUACAACCGAGUUUGAGGGUUCUUAAGGAGAAAAAGACUGGACAGCCAUGCAAGUCCUGGCCAGAUCCUCAAACAGAUAAGUGGCAUUAUAUAACUCCUGUGUCCUGGUGCUUUCAGUGGGUGGGAGUUCCUAAUGAAGACAGAGGAUUAGACAAUUAUCAGAAUAUGUUAUUACAACCAGAUUUGGCCAAAUUGUUUGACAACUGCAACUGCACCCGAAGGUUUAACUGUUCAAAUUUCAGAAUAAUUCGAAACAUUUCCGGGGUGUGGGAGGCGUUGUCUGUUGGGUGUGCAUGCAGAAACCUCACCUUGUUUGGAGUAGGAAUAUUGAUGAGAAGGAUUGACUGUUGGCCAUUUGCUAUCCCAUCACCAGGAUACACAGUAUGUGUUUUAAGUGACGGAACCUGGACCAAUAGAUUGCCCAUUGAUCUUCCUAAUUGUGAAAUUACUCUAGGGGCCCUCAUGUUAUGUCCUUUAUGGAGGAAAAAUCCCCUAACCCCAAGCUUUUGGGGAAAGACAAAGAGGGAAAUGGAUGAAUGGCAACCGCCUUUCGCUGCUGUGCAAGUGGGGUGGGAAUUCCAGGCAUUCUUUGCUCCAGGAAUUAUGGCUUUUGAAAACAGAGUAUUGUUGAUGAACUUAACUUAGCAAAUGCAAACAUAGCUAAUUCCACCAGUACAGGGUUUUCAGAAAUAAAUGAACAGAUUCAAGCCAACAGUCAAAUAUUAUUACAAAAUAGAUUAGCAUUAGAUUUGCUUUUGGCCAAAGAAAUAAGGGUGUGUGGAUACUUAAAGCUAAAGGAAGAACAUUGUUGCAUCCACAUACUCAAUGUGACACAGGACCUCAAUAAGCAAAUAGAUCGAAUUAGGGCCGUAGCCAAGAGCAGCCAAAAGCUAAGGGAGGCAGCUGAAGACACUUAGGUGAAUAAAAUUCUACAGGGGGUGGGUGGAUGGUCUUUGACAGAAUGGUUGGCCAGUUUGGUUCAGAGCCUUGUUGUCAUAAUUGUGGUAGUGACUGUGUUUUGUGUAAUGCUUAGCUGUGUGAAAAAUGCUAUAAUGAAUACUGUGUGGAAAUAGAUAAUCAAGUUAUAUAUUUCCAAAGGGGGGAAUUGUAAUGACACAUGGGGUUAGUUUGUUGCAACAUAUGGACUUUGUACAGAGGAUUCAAGGCUGACUGAUAAAAAGGAACUGGGAGUAUGCGUACACAUUAACCACAUCCUGGGACAUCAAGAUUACUCUGGCAGUAAAAAGAAGAACCAUUGUUAAAGAAGGUCACAAUGACCUAUUCCGCAUCCCGAAAAAAUUCAAGACCAUGUUGGGACAACUCUGGGAAGGGGCUUUACUGCCUACGACCACCAGAGACCCCCCGAGUCAAGAAACUGCGCAUGCCCCGAAGUAAUCCAGAUAUUAUAAUGAGUUGUUUGUAUAUGUAUGAGAUUUCUGGGAAAGAGCACGAAUAUGUAUAGGUUAGGCUAAUAAGUAUAGGCUAACUUGAAACCUCGGUGUGCACGAUAGGAGGAGAGAUCCCCCCGGCGCCAAAUAAAGCAAUGCCUGUUUUCUGAUACUAAAA